AGUCGAACGAUGAAGCCAGCUUGCUGGUGGAUUAGUGGCGAACGGGUGAGUAACACGUGAGUAACCUGCCCUUAACUCUGGGAUAAGCCUGGGAAACUGGGUCUAAUACCGGAUAUGACUCCUCAUCGCAUGGUGGGGGGUGGAAAGCUUUUGUGGUUUUGGAUGGACUCGCGGCCUAUCAGCUUGUUGGUGAGGUAAUGGCUCACCAAGGCGACGACGGGUAGCCGGCCUGAGAGGGUGACCGGCCACACUGGGACUGAGACACGGCCCAGACUCCUACGGGAGGCAGCAGAGGGGAAUAUUGCACAAUGGGCGGAAGCCUGAUGCAGCGACGCCGCGUGAGGGAUGACGGCCUUCGGGUUGUAAACCUCUUUCAGUAGGGAAGAAGCGAAAGUGACGGUACCUGCAGAAGAAGCGCCGGCUAACUAUGUGCCAGCAGCCGCGGUAAUACGUAGGGCGCAAGCGUUAUCCGGAAUUAUUGGGCGUAAAGAGCUCGUAGGCGGUUUGUCGCGUCUGCCGUGAAAGUCCGGGGCUCAACUCCGGAUCUGCGGUGGGUACGGGCAGACUAGAGUGAUGUAGGGGAGACUGGAAUUCCUGGUGUAGCGGUGAAAUGCGCAGAUAUCAGGAGGAACACCGAUGGCGAAGGCAGGUCUCUGGGCAUUAACUGACGCUGAGGAGCGAAAGCAUGGGGAGCGAACAGGAUUAGAUACCCUGGUAGAAGGGC
rnacentral:rRNA from 1 species